UCAUCAUCAUCAUCAUCAUCAUUAUAAUAAUAAUAAUUAUUAUUAUUUUUAUUAUUAUUAUUAUUAUUGGUACUAUUACUAUUAUUAUUAAUAUUGCCUUUCAAAUUGACAUUAUAUCAUUGCCUUUCAUUGGAAGACUUCUAAGGAUGCUAAUAGAACAGGUGGUCUGGAACUGUAGAGAGAAUAGAAGAAAACAUGUUGACCAAAAAAAGAAACUGGACCUAAUGUGAAAGGUGUACUAAAAAUAAGGUUGGAAAUAAAUUAACAUUGUGAGGAGGACAAGGGAGAGCAAUUGUCAGGGAUGGAUACAGAUGUAAAUACUAAAAGCCAAGGAUGUAGGGAAAAGACCUUACAGACAACACCCGGCUUACAAACAAGUUAGGUUCCAGAUUUUAGUUUGUGAGUCAUAUUUUCGUAAAAUAUUUUGGGUUUGUAUGUCUAGGUGAUUUAAUGAAAUUGUGUUGAAAUAAUAUUGUACAGCAAACACUGAUAAAGGUACUCUAUGUAUAAUAAAGACAAAACAAAUUAGAUUGAUGAAUUUUACGAAUGCACAUGCU